ensembl:snoRNA SNORD100 small nucleolar RNA SNORD100
UGUAUCGCUGAUGAUAAUUUGGCUCCCUCUACUGAAUUUUGUGAGGAGAUUGCCAUUGUUACCCAAUUUUUUGACUGAGAUGCA